GGGCUCGUUUCACAGCACAGAUACUAAAAUUGGAAGAACACAGAGAAGAUCAGCAUAGUCCCUGUGCAAGGAUGACAGGCAGAUCACGAAGCAUUGCAUAUUAAA
ensembl:snRNA U6 U6 spliceosomal RNA